UACGUAGGGUGCGAGCGUUGUCCGGAAUUAUUGGGCGUAAAGGGCUCGUAGGCGGUUUGUCACGUCGGGAGUGAAAACUCGGGGCUCAACCCCGAGCCUGCUUCCGAUACGGGCAGACUGGAGGUAUGCAGGGGAGAACGGAAUUCCUGGUGUAGCGGUGAAAUGCGCAGAUAUCGGGAGGAACACCAGUGGCGAAGGCGACUACCUGGCCUGUUCUUGACGCUGAGGCGCGAAAGCUAGGGGAGCAAACGGG
rnacentral:rRNA from 1 species